rnacentral:tRNA from 1 species
CUAAAAAUAAGCUACAAUAAGCUAUUGGGCUCAUAACCCAAAAAUGGGUAACCCCUUUUUAGA